ACUCCUACGGGAGGCAGCAGUGGGGAAUAUUGCACAAUGGGCGCAAGCCUGAUGCAGCCAUGCCGCGUGUGUGAAGAAGGCCUUGGGUUGUAAAGCACUUUCAGUCGUGAGGAAGGUAGUGUAGUUAAUAGCUGCAUUAUUUGACGUUAGCGACAGAAGAAGCACCGGCUAACUCCGUGCCAGCAGCCGCGGUAAUACGGAGGUGCGAGCGUUAAUCGGAAUUACUGGGCGUAAAGCGCAUGCAGGUGGUUUGUUAAGUCAGAUGUGAAAGCCCGGGGCUCAACCUCGGAAUAGCAUUUGAAACUGGCAGACUAGAGUACUGGUAGAGGGGGUAGAAUUUCAGGUGUAGCGGUGAAAUGCGUAGAGAUCUGAAGGAAUACCGGUGGCGAAGGCGGCCCCUGGACAGAUACUGACACUCAGAUGCGAAAGCGUGGGAGCAAACAGGAUUAGAU
rnacentral:rRNA from 1 species